rnacentral:rRNA from 1 species
UGCCUCGAAGCUCAGUCGCGCGCUGCGCGACGGAGCGCGUUUAUUUGAACAAAACCAAUCGGACGCAGGCUAGCUAUUGGUCUGAGUCCGCGAAAUGUUGGUGAAUCGGAAUAACUAUGCUGAUCGCACGGUCCAGUACCGGCGACGAUGCUUUGAAACGACUUGCUCAUCAACUUUCGAUGGUACGCUACGUGCUUACCAUGGUGACAACGGUUAACGGAGAAUCAGGGUUCGGCUCCGGAGAGGGAGCCUGAGAAACGGCUACCACAUCCAAGGAAGGCAGCAGGCACGCAAAUUACCCACUCCCAGAUCGGGGAGGUAGUGACGAAAAAUAACGGAACGUUUCUCCAUGAGACGCGUUACCGGAACGAUCGAGCCGUACAUAAGUUCGGCUAAAUCUAUUGGAGGGCAAGUCUGGUGCCAGCAGCCGCGGUAAUUCCAGCUCCAAUAGCGUAUAUUAAAGUUGCUGCGGUUAAACCGCUCGUAGUUGGAUUGCGGAUGUCGACGACUGUCGUCCUAAGCAAGAGUC